AGCAGGCCAGCAAUGAAAACUAGCCUCAGCCAAUCUUUAAUAAGAGUCCUGCUGCCACCAGUACCAUUAAGUUUGUAGGAGGUCCAAAAUCAAAAUGCAGCAGCAAACUUGAAGAGGCAAAGUUUCUUUUACCCCAUGAUCUAAUGUCCACCUUUCUAUACCAAUAAAAGAUGAUUGUGUGAGAUGAAGUUGUGAUAACUGGAUAGCCAUGGAGCUGAGUGCCCAAAGCCAAAACAAAACAAACAGAGCCAAGACAAGAAGUGCAGAUGAAUUCCAGGAGUUGGAAUAUGGCCAAGAAUCAAAAUAUAUGAUACUACUUCACAGAACCCAGAUACCAUACUGUGAGAAGCCCAAGUCAUAUAGAAAGGCUGUGUGUAGGCGUUCCAGUAGGUAGUCUUAGUUGAACCCAUCCUUUGAGUCAUCACAGGGCAGCUGCCAGACAUGAGUGAAGAAGACUACAGAUGAUGACAGCCCAGAACUAGCUCCAAAUAUUGGAGCUAUUCUUCCCAGCAGAAGCUCCAAAUAUUGCUCUAUAUUCACAGUGUACUGUCUCAAUUCCCAA